rnacentral:rRNA from 1 species
UGGGGAAUAUUGCACAAUGGGCGCAAGCCUGAUGCAGCCAUGCCGCGUGUGUGAAGAAGGCCUUCGGGUUGUAAAGCACUUUCAGCGAGGAGGAAGGUGGUGAGCUUAAUACGCUCAUCAAUUGACGUUACUCGCAGAAGAAGCACCGGCUAACUCCGUGCCAGCAGCCGCGGUAAUACGGAGGGUGCAAGCGUUAAUCGGAAUUACUGGGCGUAAAGCGCACGCAGGCGGUUUGUUAAGUCAGAUGUGAAAUCCCCGGGCUCAACCUGGGAACUGCAUUUGAAACUGGCAAGCUAGAGUCUCGUAGAGGGGGGUAGAAUUCCAGGUGUAGCGGUGAAAUGCGUAGAGAUCUGGAGGAAUACCGGUGGCGAAGGCGGCCCCCUGGACGAAGACUGACGCUCAGGUGCGAAAGCGUGGGGCAGCAAACAGGAUUAGAUACCCUGGUAGUCCAGCGCUGUAAACGAUGUCGAUUUGGAGGUUGUGCCCUUGAGGCGUGGCUUCCGGAGCUAACGCGUUAAAUCGA